CAUGCAGUCGUACGAAGAAGUUUUUAACUUCAAGUGGCGGACGGGUGAGUAACACGUAAGAAUUUGCCUUUAGGAGGGGGACAACAAUAGUAAUUAUUGCUAAUACCCCAUAUGCUUUCGAGUGAAAGGAAUUUCCGCCUAAAGAGAAGCUUGCGGCUGAUUAGCUUGUUGGUAAGGUAAAAGCUUACCAAGGCGACGAUCAGUAUCUGGUUUGAGAGGACGAUCAGACACACUGGAACUGAGACACGGUCCAGACUCCUGCGGGAGGCAGCAGUAGGGAAUUUUCCGCAAUGGGCGAAAGCCUGACGGAGCAAUACCGCGUGAGGGAUGACUGCCUAUGGGUUGUAAACCUCUUUUUUCAGGGAGGAAUAAAUGACGUGUACCUGAAGAAUAAGCAUCGGCUAACUCCGUGCCAGCAGCCGCGGUAAGACGGAGGAUGCAAGUGUUAUCCGGAAUCACUGGGCGUAAAGCGUCUGUAGGUGGUUUAAUAAGUCAACUGUUAAAUCUUGAGGCUCAACUUCAAAAUCGCAGUCGAAACUAUUAGACUAGAGUAUAGUAGGGGUAAAGGGAAUUUCCAGUGGAGCGGUGAAAUGCGUAGAGAUUGGAAAGAACACCGAUGGCGAAGGCACUUUACUUGGCUAUUACUGACACUCAGAGACGAAAGCUAGGGUAGCAAAUGGGAUUAGAUAC
rnacentral:rRNA from 1 species